rnacentral:tRNA from 1 species
GGAGAAGUGCCAGAGCGGUUGAAUGGGCCGCACUCGAAAUGCGGUGUACGGGUGACUGUACCGGGGGUUCGAAUCCCUCCUUCUCCG